rnacentral:rRNA from 1 species
AGAGUUUGAUCCUGGCUCAGGACGAACGCUGGCGGCGUGCUUAACACAUGCAAGUCGAACGGAAAGGCCCUUCGGGGUACUCGAGUGGCGAACGGGUGAGUAACACGUGGGUGAUCUGCCCUGCACUUUGGGAUAAGCCUGGGAAACUGGGUCUAAUACCGGAUAGGACUACGGCCUGCAUGGGUUGUGGUGGAAAGCUUUUGCGGUGUGGGAUGGGCCCGCGGCCUAUCAGCUUGUUGGUGAGGUUACGGCUCACCAAGGCGACGACGGGUAGCCGGCCUGAGAGGGUGUCCGGCCACACUGGGACUGAGAUACGGCCCAGACUCCUACGGGAGGCAGCAGUGGGGAAUAUUGCACAAUGGGCGCAAGCCUGAUGCAGCGACGCCGCGUGAGGGAUGACGGCCUUCGGGUUGUAACCUCUUUCAACAGGGACGAAGCGAAAGUGACGGUACCUGUAGAAGAAGCACCGGCCAACUACGUGCCAGCAGCCGCGGUAAUACGUAGGGUGCGAGCGUUGUCCGGAAUUACUGGGCGUAAAGAGCUCGUAGGUGGUUUGUCGCGUUGUUCGUGAAAACUCACAGCUCAACUGUGGGCGUGCGGGCGAUACGGGCAGACUGGAGUACUGCAGGGGGAGACUGGAAUUCCUGGUGUAGCGGUGGAAUGCGCAGAUAUCAGGAGGAACACCGGUGGCGAAGGCGGGUCUCUGGGCAGUAACUGACGCUGAGAGCGAAAGCGUGGGGAGGAACAGGAUUAGAUACCCUAGUAGUCC